rnacentral:rRNA from 1 species
AGAGUUUGAUCAUGGCUCAGAACGAACGCUGGCGGCAUGCCUAACACAUGCAAGUCGAACGAAGCCUUCGGGCUUAGUGGCGCACGGGUGCGUAACGCGUGGGAAUCUGCCCUUAGGUACGGAAUAACUCAGGGAAACUUGUGCUAAUACCGUAUGAUGUCGAGAGACCAAAGAUUUAUCGCCUAGGGAUGAGCCCGCGUAGGAUUAGCUAGUUGGUGGGGUAAAGGCCUACCAAGGCGACGAUCCUUAGCUGGUCUGAGAGGAUGAUCAGCCACACUGGGACUGAGACACGGCCCAGACUCCUACGGGAGGCAGCAGUGGGGAAUAUUGGACAAUGGGCGAAAGCCUGAUCCAGCAAUGCCGCGUGAGUGAAGAAGGCCUUCGGGUUGUAAAGCUCUUUUACCCGGGAAGAUAAUGACUGUACCGGGAGAAUAAGCCCCGGCUAACUCCGUG